rnacentral:rRNA from 1 species
UACGUAGGGUGCAAGCGUUGUCCGGAUUUACUGGGCGUAAAGAGCGUGUAGGCGGCCACGCAGGUCCGUUGUGAAAACUGGAGGCUCAACCUCCAGCUCGUCGACGGAAACCGUAUGGCUAGAGUCCGGAAGAGGAGAGUGGAAUUCCUGGUGUAGCGGUGAAAUGCGCAGAUAUCAGGAAGAACACCAUGGCGAAGGCAGCUCUCUGGGACGGUACUGACGCUGAGACGCGAAAGCGUGGGGAGCGAACAGGAUUAGAACUCCGAGUCA